rnacentral:rRNA from 1 species
CAAAAACGGAGGAAAAGAAACCAACCGGGAUUGCCUUAGUAACGGCGAGUGAAGCGGCAAAAGCUCAAAUUUGAAAUCUGGUACCUUCGGUGCCCGAGUUGUAAUUUGGAGAGGGCAACUUUGGGGCCGUUCCUUGUCUAUGUUCCUUGGAACAGGACGUCAUAGAGGGUGAGAAUCCCGUGUGGCGAGGAGUGCGGUUCUUUGUAAAGUGCCUUCGAAGAGUCGAGUUGUUUGGGAAUGCAGCUCUAAGUGGGUGGUAAAUUCCAUCUAAAGCUAAAUAUUGGCGAGAGACCGAUAGCGAACAAGUACAGUGAUGGAAAGAUGAAAAGAACUUUGAAAAGAGAGUGAAAAAGUACGUGAAAUUGUUGAAAGGGAAGGGCAUUUGAUCAGACAUGGUGUUUUGUGCCCUCUGCUCCUUGUGGGUAGGGGAAUCUCGCAUUUCACUGGGCCAGCAUCAGUUUUGGUGGCAGGAUAAAUCCAUAGGAAUGUAGCUUGCCUCGGUAAGUAUUAUAGCCUGUGGGAAUACUGCCAGCUGGGACUGAGGACUGCGACGUAAGUCAAGGAUGCUGGCAUAAUGGUUAUAUGCCGCCCGUCUUGA